rnacentral:rRNA from 1 species
AGUGAACGCUGGCGGUAGGCCUAACACAUGCAAGUCGAACGGCAGCACAGUAAGAGCUUGCUCUUACGGGUGGCGAGUGGCGGACGGGUGAGGAAUACAUCGGAAUCUACUUUUUCGUGGGGGAUAACGUAGGGAAACUUACGCUAAUACCGCAUACGACCUACGGGUGAAAGCAGGGGAUCUUCGGACCUUGCGCGAUUGAAUGAGCCGAUGUCGGAUUAGCUAGUUGGCGGGGUAAAGGCCCACCAAGACGACGAUCCGUAGCUGGUCUGAGAGGAUGAUCAGCCACACUGGAACUGAGACACGGUCCAGACUCCUACGGGAGGCAGCAGUGGGGAAUAUUGGACAAUGGGCGCAAGCCUGAUCCAGCCAUACCGCGUGGGUGAAGAAAGCCUUCGGGUUGUAAAGCCCUUUUGUUGGGAAAGAAAAGCAGCAGGUUAAUACCCCGCUGUUCUGACGGUACCCAAAGAAUAAGCACCGGCUAACUUCGUG